rnacentral:rRNA from 1 species
CGAGCGUUGUCCGGAAUUAUUGGGCGUAAAGCGAGCGCAGGCGGUUAGAUAAGUCUGAAGUUAAAGGCUGUGGCUUAACCAUAGUAUGCUUUGGAAACUGUUUAACUUGAGUGCAGAAGGGGAGAGUGGAAUUCCAUGUGUAGCGGUGAAAUGCGUAGAUAUAUGGAGGAACACCGGUGGCGAAAGCGGCUCUCUGGUCUGUAACUGACGCUGAGGCUCGAAAGCGUGGGGAGCAAACAGGAUUAGAUACCCUGGUAGUCCACGCCGUAAACGAUGAGUGCUAGGUGUUAGGCCCUUUCCGGGGCUUAGUGCCGCAGCUAACGCAUUAAGCACUCCGCCUGGGGAGUACGACCGCAAGGUUGAAACUC